rnacentral:lncRNA from 1 species
AGGGACAGGAGGGAAAAUAAGUGGGAAAAUUUAGAGAGAGAGACAAACCAUGAGAGACUUCUAACUCUAGGAAAUGAACAAAGGGUUGUGGAAGGGGAGGUGGGUGGGGGGUUGGGGUAACCGGAUGAUGGGCACUAAGGAGGGCACUUGAUGGGAUGAGCACUGGGUGUUAUAUGUUGGCAAAUUGAACUUCAAUAAAAACAAAUGAAAAAAUAAAAAAAUAAUUUUAAAAAUGUUAGAUAAUAAUAAUGAAAAAAAAGGAUGUUGCAUGGACCAGCAGCAUCCCAUUACCCAGGAGCUUAUUAGAAGAUCAGAAUCUCAGGCCCUGUCCCAAAUUCACUGAAUCAAGACCAGCACUUUAGUAAGCCCCUCCAGGUGGUGCAUACUCUCAUUAACUCUUAAGAAUAACUUAUCUGGGUGGGUCCCCGUACUUCUCAGCUGAAGACCUGAAGGUCAGGGGCAGUACACUUGUAUAAGUAUUGCCAUUUAACAACACAGUGAAAGGAUCAGAAUCUAAUCUCAUGAGGCUAGGCCGAGGUUGUUUCCACUAAAUUGCACUUCUCUGAACUAUUCUAACACACACACACACACAGCCACGCACACUCACCCCUUCCUUUCUCCAAAGCCCCACCAAUGAAACUUCAUGAUUUACAAUCGAUCCCAUUUUACAGGAAGCCAUCUGUGGCAAACAGACUCAUAUCUGUCCUUGCUCUCUUCUCUUUUAGGCGACAUUAGGCCACGCGUCUCUCUUCUUCCCCAAGUCUACUUCUCCCAUCCGUAUUGGGAAGUCCAUCCUCCUCUACCUCCUCAGGAAUUUAUACUCAAAAAGGAAACCUGACUAGAAGAAAAACUUCAAAAGAGCCAUGGUGUUCUUUCUCAAUCAGGAGAAUAACUGUGAGACCACACUAUUCAAGAGAGAUGCCUCAGUAAAAAGUAACAACAGAAGUGAAAAAAGAAAGAGAAAAGCAUACAGAAGCCAUAAGAAGCAAACAAAGGAGGUGAGUGGAGGGCUACAUAGCCCAAGGCAGAAAAUUUUCCCUGGGAUGGAUUCAUAUUAGCAAUAAUGCUGAGCCCCGCUGUACUACAUGUCUGCAGAUCAGUGGCUGUGUUGUUCACUCAUCAACAGGUGAGUAUACCCAACCCCACAUCUAUUAUCCAGCCCCUACUGGCUGAGAAGGGCCAGAAAGAAUAGAAUGGAAGCAUGCUUUGCAAGUUGGAAAGGGAUGCACUCAGGUAAGGGCUUAAGAAACCAUACAAGUUUAACAAAGGAAAAAUCUAUCACCUUACAUUUCAGGUUCAAAUUCUGAAUUGCUUUAUCUCAGGACCAUUGUUGAACUCCAUGGUUAACUUCUAUAUUGAAUCUUGAAUUAGUCAUUAAGAAAAAAAGCAAUUGACUUACAGAAGACCUAUAUGUAAAUAUGGUAUUGUUCUGUGUGCAAUGUAUGGUUUACAAUGAGACUGAAGAGUAUAGUAGGUUAUAUCUGUUCUUUAGGAUAAUAUAGACUGUGGUGAAAUACUCAGCAUCCUGGAACUCAUGUAUUUACUUGUGAAAUUAGAAUACUCUAUGCAUCUCAGAGAAUUUUUGUAAAGGUCAAUUUAGAUGAAUACGAGAAACACUUUGCAGGACACUUGGUGUGUGCAGUGGUCAGUGAGCAUUGCUAUUAACAGGAGUAGCAGUGCUAAUAAUAUUGUAUGAAGUAUAUAGAGUAAGGGAAAAACAUAUACUGUAUUAUAUGAUUCAAGGGCCUUUCCCAUUAGUAAGAGAUAAGAUAUGCACAGACAAAAAUAGGCUCAAUUGACAUGGCAUUGAUUAUUGAAGCCUUCAGAAUGGAUGAAUUCUUCACAUGAAGAAAUGCCAGAUAGAAAACCGAGCACUACAUCCUAGGAAUUGCUCAGUGUGAAGAGAGGAGAACAAAAAUCAGUUAUAAAUGGAAGAAGUCAACCUAGAUAGGUCAGUUACAGAGGCCUAGAAAGAAGAAGAUUUAGACAGAAGGUGUGAAGAGAGUCAGAAAAACACAGCUAAAUAAAGAGGAUUGAAAAGGUCCUGUAGUUUUAAACCUAGCAAGGAAUUUUAUUUGUAAGAAACAUGUCAUAAGGUAUAUUUUUGUAUAUUUUUAAUUUAAAAGGAUUGUCUCUGUGGGGUUUCUGAGGGGCUCUAUCAGUUAAUCAUCUGCCUUUGGCUCAGGUCAUGAUCCCAGAGUCCCAGGAUCCAGUCCUGCAUCAGUCUCCCUGUUCAGUGAGAAGUCUGCUUCUCUCUCCACCUUCCCCCAUCUUCUGCUCUCUCUCUCUCUCUCUCUCUCACUACUCUCUCUUUUAAUCUCUCUCAAAUAAAUAAAACCUUUAGUUGAAAAAAAAAGGACUGUCUUUGUUAUGAAAACUAAGCUGCGUAGAACAUGGUGAACUUUGAAAGAGAAUAGUUCACCAAUUUAUAUAAAAUUAAUUUUCUUUAGAACUUAAUUCAUUACAAUAGAACUUAUGAUAAUGAUAAAAAAAACCUCAGCAUUUCAUUAUAGGUGAAUGGAUAGAUGAAUUAGAGUGUCUCUCUCAUUGGACGGUUAUGCGGCCAUUUCCAAUAAUGGUGUAACAUAACAAUGUAAGAUUCAAAUGCACACAUAUAUAAUCAGGUACAUAUAUGUAUGCAUAUGUAUAAUAAAAUAGAACACAUUGCAGAGUUAUCAAUGAGAUAAGAAAUGUUUCUUUCUAUGAAUUUGUAAAAUUUUCCAAGGCUUCUAAAUUCAUGGGUUCUGGUAAUAGUAAGAAAAAGAGUAUUUUUAAUUAAACUCAGCAGCACCACUCACAGUAAACUUGAGUCAAUGGAAAGGCUAUAUGGAAAUUACAUUUCUCAAACGUCUGCUGCAGGUCUGUGAUUGAAAUUGGACAAAAUUAGACCGAAACAGUUUUUUAAGGACAGUAUGAUCCAUACCUUCCAAAUUCCCUGCAAAAGACAACUCAAUGGCUUUCACAAUCAGUAAAGCAAAGAUGUUAGGUGAUUCCCUGAAAAGCUUAUCCCGCACGUGAUGAGGGGGUGGGAGGGUGUGACUGUGACACAGAUAAAAGUUGCCUCCUGUUCCCCAGUAUUCAUGUCCACACCCUGCUUACUCACAUAAAACCAUCAGCAAAACCUUUUACAUGAUUUAGGUGCAGAGAUAUUCAGAUCUAUAAUAUUAAAACCACUAAGAUUUUAUAUUUUCUGAAGUAACAAUUUAUAACUCACACAUAUUACUUUUUACUUCAAGUACUUAGCUGUAUAUAUAUCCACCACAUUGGAAAAAAAUUACUCUGUGCCCCAAUUUUAUCACAAUAAGAACUGAAUAACUUAUAAGCUCAGUGUUCUCUGAUGAGUUAUGAACAAGUUCGCCUUUCUGAGAAGAAAAUUAAAUUCCUAUUGCAUCUGGAAACUCUUGCUAAAAUAUUUUAUUACUGCUGUUAAGAGGUUUAAAAUAAUGGAGGCAGCGUUAGAGUAAAUAUACUAUCUUCAUUUUCUGUCUCUUUAAUUGUUGAAUUGUCUAUUUUAGCACCAGAGUUUCAUGGUUUAUUUAAUGUCAAUUCACAAAACAGAAGCUAAG